rnacentral:lncRNA from 1 species
AAAUAUAUAUAUAUACCUUUCAGCAGGAAAUUAUAGAAACAAGAGGUGUAGAGUUGAAGGUUGGAUUGUAUUUUGAAUUCUGUGAAAAGUAAAACACAUAUGUUAGUGACUAGAAAAAUUAUAAUAUACGUAAUUUAAAGAAAAAUAUUACCUUUGGAAAAAAAAGGUUAGAACACGAGAGAAAGAAGAAGUGUGAGGUGUGAGUGUUAUAUAGAAAAAAAGAAAAGGUGUUUCUUGAGUUAUUAUUUUAUUAAAAAAAUAAAAAAAGUAAAAAACACAGAUAAAAAAACAUCAAAAGAAGCGUGAAC